CUGUCGCUGAGAAGACAAUAUGCGCUAUCUCAGCAUCACACAGUGUUGAGAGCUCCUGUGCUUUCUUAAAAAGCCCUCUUCUCCUCUUUGAGAAGGUCACUUGCCUUGCUGCUGUGUUGUCAAUCUUCUUGAUCCGAAUCUUCUGCCGCGACAUUGGAAAAUUUUCAACCAAACCUUCACAGAAAAAAUCAACACAACUCCGUAUCAGACCAAAGAACCAUUUUACUCCUUAUAUGUAGAGAGAGAGAGAAGGAGAGAACAAAUAAGGAAAAAAAGUCAGACCCUUCACAGAUCAAACUGGUACUUCAAAGAGAAUUCAAUAGAGGGAGAGAGAGAGAAAUGGGGUUCAUAUAUCUAUGUAUAAAAAGAAGGAAUGGGAGAGAUGAGAAAACUAACCUUGAGCUUGAAUACUCAAAGAACUUUCCUGCUGCUGAGAAGACAAUAUGCGCUAUCUCAGCAUCACACAGUGUUGAGAGCUCCUGUGCUUUCUUAAAAAGCCCUCUUCUCCUCUUUGAGAAGGUCACUUGCCUUGCUGCUGUGUUGUCAAUCUUCUUGAUCUGAAUCUUCUGCCGCGACAUUGGAAAAUUUUCAACCAAACCCUUCACAGAAAAAAUCAACACAACUCCGUAUCAGACCAAAGAACCAUUUUACUCCUUAUAUGUAGAGAGAGAGACGGAGAAAACAAAUAAGGAAAAAAUCAGACGCUUCACUGAUCACACUGGUACUUCAAAGAGAAUUCAAUAGAGGGUGAGAGAGAGAAAGGGGAUUUGGAAAGAGAGAAAAAAAAUGUGGGUGUGAGAUAAGAGAAAAAAUAAACAAACGACC
rnacentral:lncRNA from 1 species